rnacentral:lncRNA from 1 species
CUCUUUAGAUACCGGAAGGCCACUAUCAGGUCUCUGUGGAGUCUUUUCUCCUCUAGGCUGAACAGCCCCAAUUCUGUCAGCCUGUCCUUGCAGGAGAGGUGUUCCAUCCCUUGGAUUGCUUUCAUGGUCCUCCUCUGGAUGUGCUCCAGCAGUUCCAUGUCUCUCCUGUACUGAGGACUCUGUAUUUAGACACAGUACUCCAGAGAGCGUGACACUGAUGAUGAGCUGGGAUUGCCUGUCCCACCCUGUCCCCUUCCAGGCAGCGUGUCUCAGCCAAGUGCUGUGCUCAGGGAGCUUCCAGAGAGCCACAGCUGUUAUACUUAGGAGAUGCUUACACUACAGAGGGAUCCUCACAGGGAACAAAGGUGACUCUGUCUGAUGCUGUCCAGAAACCAGGCAAAGCGUCACUUCUGUUCCCAAGGAGUCUAUUGCAUGCCCACCAUGUGCUUCACGUGCAUUCAGAGGAUUGGCCCAUUGUUUCUUCAUUCAAGGGUGACUGGCACAGGCUGCCCAGAAAAGCUGCAGUGUCUUUGUCCUUCAAAACCCGACCAGAUACAUCCCUGAUCAACCUGCCCCAGCUGACCUUGCUCGGAGCUGGGAAUUUGGACCAGAAGAUCUCCAAAGAUCCCAUCCAUCCUCAAUCUUUGGGUGGUUCUAAGAGUAAGGAGAGCGGAGUACAGGUUUCUUUUGCACUGAGAAAUCCCGUCCUUUUCACUGAUGGCAUAUGAUGACAGAGAACAGUCUGUUCUGGAG